rnacentral:rRNA from 1 species
UACGUAGGGUGCAAGCGUUGUCCGGAAUUAUUGGGCGUAAAGAGCUCGUAGGCGGUCUGUCGCGUCGGCUGUGAAAACUCGGGGCUCAACUCCGAGCUUGCAGUCGAUACGGGCAGGCUAGAGUUCGGCAGGGGAGACUGGAAUUCCUGGUGUAGCGGUGAAAUGCGCAGAUAUCAGGAGGAACACCGGUGGCGAAGGCGGGUCUCUGGGUAGUAACUGACGCUGAGGAACGAAAGCGUGGGUAGCGAACAGG